rnacentral:rRNA from 1 species
UUCUUCGGAACUAGAGACCGGCGCACGGGUGCGUAACGCGUAUGCAAUCUACCUUUCACAGAGGGAUAGCCCAGAGAAAUUUGGAUUAAUACCUCAUAGUAUAAUGAGUUGGCAUCAACACAUUAUUAAAGUCACAACGGUGAAAGAUGAGCAUGCGUCCCAUUAGCUAGAUGGUAAGGUAACGGCUUACCAUGGCUACGAUGGGUAGGGGUCCUGAGAGGGAGAUCCCCCACACUGGUACUGAGACACGGACCAGACUCCUACGGGAGGCAGCAGUGAGGAAUAUUGGACAAUGGGCGCAAGCCUGAUCCAGCCAUGCCGCGUGCAGGAUGACGGUCCUAUGGAUUGUAAACUGCUUUUGUACAGGAAGAAACACUGGUUCGUGAACCAGCUUGACGGUACUGUAAGAAUAAGGAUCGGCUAACUCCGUGCCAGCAGCCGCGGUAAUACGGAGGAUCCAAGCGUUAUCCGGAAUCAUUGGGUUUAAAGGGUCCGUAGGCGGUUUAGUAAGUCAGUGGUGAAAGCCCAUCGCUCAACGGUGGAACGGCCAUUGAUACUGCUAAACUUGAAUUAUUAGGAAGUAACUAGAAUAUGUAGUGUAGCGGUGAAAUGCUUAGAGAUUACAUGGAAUACCAAUUGCGAAGGCAGGUUACUACUAAUGGAUUGACGCUGAUGGACGAAAGCGUGGGUAGCGAACAGGAUUAGAUACCCUGGUAGUCCACGCCGUAAACGAUGGAUACUAGCUGUUGGAAGCAAUUUCAGUGGCUA